GGGGGUUGGAAAGUUUCGGCGGUUGGGGAUGGACUCGCGGCUUAUCAGCUUGUUGGUGGGGUAGUGGCUUACCAAGGCUUUGACGGGUAGCCGGCCUGAGAGGGUGACCGGCCACAUUGGGACUGAGAUACGGCCCAGACUCCUACGGGAGGCAGCAGUGGGGAAUAUUGCACAAUGGGCGGAAGCCUGAUGCAGCAACGCCGCGUGCGGGAUGACGGCCUUCGGGUUGUAAACCGCUUUCGCCUGUGACGAAGCGUGAGUGACGGUAAUGGGUAAAGAAGCACCGGCUAACUACGUGCCAGCAGCCGCGGUGAUACGUAGGGUGCGAGCGUUGUCCGGAUUUAUUGGGCGUAAAGGGCUCGUAGGUGGUUGAUCGCGUCGGAAGUGUAAUCUUGGGGCUUAACCCUGAGCGUGCUUUCGAUACGGGUUGACUUGAGGAAGGUAGGGGAGAAUGGAAUUCCUGGUGGAGCGGUGGAAUGCGCAGAUAUCAGGAGGAACACCAGUGGCGAAGGCGGUUCUCUGGGCCUUUCCUGACGCUGAGGAGCGAAAGCGUGGGGAGCGAACAGGCUUAGAUACCCUGGUAGUCCACGCUGUAAACGGUGGGUACUAGGUGUGGGGUCCAUUCCACGGGUUCCGUGCCGUAGCUAACGCUUUAAGUACCCCGCCUGGGGAGUACGGCCGCAAGGCUAAAACUCAAAGGAAUUGACGGGGCCCCGCACAAGCGGCGGAGCAUGCGGAUUAAUUCGAUGCAACGCGUAGAACCUUACCUGGGUUUGACAUGGAUCGGGAGCGCUCAGAGA
rnacentral:rRNA from 1 species